rnacentral:rRNA from 1 species
AUACGGAGGGUGCAAGCGUUAUCCGGAUUUAUUGGGUUUAAAGGGUGCGCAGGCGGAUAAUUAAGUCAGUGGUGAAAUCCUCCCGCUCAACGGGAGAACUGCCAUUGAUACUGAUAAUCUGGAAUACGGUUGAAGUGGGCGGAAUGUAGCAUGUAGCGGUGAAAUGCAUAGAGGUGAUACAGAACACCGAUCGCGAAGGCAGCUCACUAAGCCGAUAUUGACGCUCAGGCACGAAAGCGUGGGUAGCGAACAGGAUUAGAAACCCCAGUAGUCC